UACUAUGGGUGGCGAGCGGCGGACGGGUGAGUAAUGCAUAGGAAUCUGCCUUGUAGUGGGGGAUAACCCGGGGAAACUCGGGCUAAUACCGCAUAAUCUCUACGGAGCAAAGUGGGGGACCGUAAGGCCUCACGCUAAAAGAUGAGCCUAUGUUGGAUUAGCUAGUUGGUAGGGUAAAGGCCUACCAAGGCGACGAUCCAUAGCUGGUCUGAGAGGAUGAUCAGCCACACUGGGACUGAGACACGGCCCAGACUCCUACGGGAGGCAGCAGUGGGGAAUAUUGGACAAUGGGCGAAAGCCUGAUCCAGCAACGCCGUGUGUGUGAAGAAGGCCUUCGGGUUGUAAAGCACUUUUAGUUGGGAAGAAAAGCUCAAGAUUAAUACUUUUGAGUGAUGACGUUACCAACAGAAAAAGCACUGGCUAACUCUGUGCCAGCAGCCGCGGUAAUACAGAGAGUGCAAGCGUUAAUCGGAAUUACUGGGCGUAAAGCGCACGUAGGUGGAAUUUUAAGUCGGAUGUGAAAUCCCCGGGCUUAACCUGGGAAUUGCAUUCGAUACUGUGAUUCUAGAGUAUGGUAGAGGGAAGUGGAAUUUCCGGUGUAGCGGUGAAAUGCGUAGAUAUCGGAAGGAACAUCAGUGGCGAAAGCGGCUUCCUGGACCAAUACUGACACUUAGGUGCGAAAGCGU
rnacentral:rRNA from 1 species